UAUUGAAUUAAAAACGUUUAAAAUUUUUUGGUUUUAAUUUCUUUACUACUGAUUUGAAAUUGUUAAUUAAAAUUCUACAUUCUUAAAUUUCUAUGAAAUGACAAAUUGAUUGAAAUAUUACGAACUAAAACCUAAGGAAUUUGUUCCAGGAUCAAAAAUUACUUCAACAAAUUAAUAUCAAUUAUUUAUGGUGUGUUGUAUGAACGAAAUUUGAGAAGAUUUUUUGUUUGUUUUGGAGAACAGUCAACAUUUAUUUCAUUGGUUCUGUUUGAAUUAGUUUUAGGUUUUGUUUUAGAGAAUGUUUAGGCA